rnacentral:misc_RNA from 1 species
GGUGUUUCAUCAUUGUUUGCUUGGUAGUAAUAUUGACCAGAUUGAUCAACAAAGUAAGUUCCACCCUCUUCACCACCUGACAAUCCUUCCACCUGUUGCACUAUAAUAAAAAGUUUUAAUAAAGGUAUGCCUUUUGUAAAAGAUGUAGAAAAUUUAUUUGUAAAUACUAACGCUGUACAUGCUGUAAUUGCUCUCCUUGACCUCCUUCUAUUUCUUUAUUGAAUGUUUCUAAGUAAGUCUGUAUUUCCGUUACAGAUUCUUGCUCCUCUUCUAACUUAAUCGUUGUUACAUUACUUGUCAUGGUCAAAUCAUUAACUCAUAAAAGUAUACUUUCUCUCAUUAGCCUCCACGGUUUUCAAACCGUAGACUUUCGUCAGACAUCGGAAGUUCCGAAGUUGCGCAUUCUGUCGGAAAGCUUUAAGACAACGCGGAUGCUUUCGAUCACAGGACACAGGGGGCAUUAACAACAAAAAUUUCAGAAAAUUAUCACCGUCGGCGCUGUCAUCAAUGUAGAGGACGCAACGGAAGGGAAUACUGUUCGUUCUGCUACGUGUUGGAUAUAACUUACCAAUCUUUUGCGUUCAGCUCGCGGCCGGCUGGCACAGAUCUCUUUAAAUACCUUCAAAAAUCGUCUUUCUUCACACAGAAUCGUGUUUUCACUUUGUGCUAAGAUCGCUUACAACUCGAAACCUCUAAAUAUUCGCUUACCUCGUAAAGUCGAGAAAGUUCGUGUGAGGGCGUUGUGUAAGACCCGGAGGAUAAUAUGGCCGAUCGAACUACGAAUGUUCAAAUGCUGCGCGUUGAUAGCUGCGCACUGGCAUGCAUCACUCGUCAUGUUUACACCGGACGACUGUCGUUUUUAGGUACUUCCGGGUAGUAAUUUUACCUACAUAUUACCAAUUAACUUUUUCCUUUUUUCAUGUAUUCAGUUUUCACUCACUGAAGCAUGUUUAUAAGCAUACGGCGGUGAAACUACUUUAAUAAUACUUCGUUACUAGUAAAUGUAGCAUUGAUAAUGCUGAGAU